rnacentral:rRNA from 1 species
GACGAACGCUGGCGGCGUGCUUAACACAUGCAAGUCGAACGGAAAGGCCCUGCUUUUGUGGGGUGCUCGAGUGGCGAACGGGUGAGUAACACGUGAGUAACCUGCCCUUGACUUUGGGAUAACUUCAGGAAACUGGGGCUAAUACCGGAUAGGAGCUCCUGCUGCAUGGUGGGGGUUGGAAAGUUUCGGCGGUUGGGGAUGGUCUCGCGGGUUAUGAGCUUGUUGGUGGGGUUGUGGCUUACCAAGGCUUUGACGGGUAGCCGGCCUGAGAGGGUGACCGGCCACCUUAGGACUACGGUACGGCCCAGACUCGUACGGGAGGCAACGGUGGGGAGUAUUGCGCAAUAGGCGGAAGCCUGAUGCAACAACGCCGCGUGCGGGAUGACGUCCUUCGGGUUGUAAACCGCUUUCGCCUGUGACGAAGCGUGAGUGGCGGUAAUGGGUAAAGAAGCACCGGCUAACUACGUG